GUAACGGCGAGUGAAGCGGCAACAGCUCAAAUUUGAAAUCUGGUCACCUUACGGAGGCCCGAGUUGUAAUUUGAAGAGGAUGCUUUUGGCGAGGUGCCUUCCGAGUGCCCUGGAACGGGACGCCACAGAGGGUGAGAGCCCCGUAUGGUUGGACACCGAGCCUAUGUAAAGCUCCUUCGACGAGUCGAGUAGUUUGGGAAUGCUGCUCAAAAUGGGAGGUAAACCCCUUCUAAAGCUAAAUAUUGGCCAGAGACCGAUAGCGCACAAGUAGAGUGAUCGAAAGAUGAAAAGCACUUUGAAAAGAGAGUUAAACAGCACGUGAAAUUGUUGAAAGGGAAGCGCUUGCGACCAGACUUGCGCCCGUCGGAUCGACCGUCGCUUGUCGGCGGCGCACUCCGGCGGGCUCAGGCCAGCAUCAGUUUUCCCGGGGGGAGAAAGGCGGUGGGAAUGUAGCUCCUAGGAGUGUUAUAGCCCGCCGCGUAAUACCCUCGGGGGGACUGAGGACCGCGCAUCUGCA
rnacentral:rRNA from 1 species